rnacentral:rRNA from 1 species
CCUUAUCCUAAUNNGCCAGCGAGUAAUGUCGGGANCUCCAGGGAGACUGCCGGUGAUAAACCGGAGGAAGGUGGGGACGACGUCAAGUCAUCAUGGCCCUUACGAGUAGGGCUACACACGUGCUACAAUGGCGCAUACAGAGGGCAGCCAACUCGCGAGAGUGAGCGAAUCCCAAAAAGUGCGUCGUAGUCCGGAUUGGAGUCUGCAACUCGACUCCAUGAAGUCGGAAUCGCUAGUAAUCGUAGAUCAGAAUGCUACGGUGAAUACGUUCCCGGGCCUUGUACACACC